rnacentral:pre_miRNA from 1 species
AACCUUCUGUAUCCGUGCUGAGAUUUCGUCACACAUCAGACCACAAGGGCUGAUGAGACUUCCAAGAUAAGUGAAGCG